rnacentral:RNase_P_RNA from 1 species
CCUGCUCUUUGGAUGAUCGCUCAGCUCCAGUUUCCGUUCCCGCUGCACUUUCUUCCGAGGCAUUCGGAAAUAGUGACUACAGAAACGGAAACUGGGGCUGAGAGGAACGUCCGGGCAUCACAAGUGGCGCACUCAUCACGUGGUUGCGCCACCGACACGGUCGUUCACGAACGACGUGUCACCGGAACGCCAUGCGGGUAACGCCCGCCCGCGCGUCCUAUAUUCUGAAAGGCGCGUGCGGACCAGUGCCACAGUGACGAACUCCGUUUCCCACUUCCGCAAGGAAAGGAGGAAUGGAGGUGAAACGGCUCGGGAACCGAGCCCCCGCACCAGACACUCUGCGUCGGUGCGGGGCGGUAAACUCAUGGUGAUGCAAGGAGGAUUUGGGCAUGCGGGGAUCGCGAUGGUUCCGUCGCACCGCGCGCCCCUCCGCUUCAGGCGCCGAGCAAUCGGCGUCGUAGAGAGAUGAUCAUCCCGGUUAGCCUAACCGGACAGAACCCGGCGUACAGAAGGACAGGAGAA